rnacentral:tRNA from 1 species
GUUUUAAUAAUUUAAAUAAAAUAUUGGUCUUGUAAACCAAAAUUAAGAUUAACACCUUUUAAAACU